AAGUCGUAACAAGGUUUCCGUAGGUGAACCUGCGGAAGGAUCAUUAGAGAAUAUGAUUAACCAUUUACUAUUUACUGGUGAAUUGGCUCGACCAGAGCUAAUGGGUCGCGGUGGCGACUGAAACUAUACCACAAUUUAUUUUCAACAUUUACAUUUACAUUUACUCUAACACAUGAGCACCUUGCCGCAAUGGAUCUCUCGGCUCUU
rnacentral:misc_RNA from 1 species